GACGAACGCUGGCGGCGUGCUUAACACAUGCAAGUCGAACGGAAAGACCCGGCGUUUGUGGGGUGCUCGAGUGGCGAACGGGUGAGUAACACGUGAGUAACCUGCCCUUGACUUUGGGAUAACUCCAGGAAACUGGGGCUAAUACAGGAUAGGAGCUCCUGAUGCAUGGGGGGGGUUGGAAAGUUUCGGCGGUUGGGGAUGGACUGGCGGCUUAUCCGCUUGAUGGUGGGGUAGUGGCUUACCAAGGCUUUGACGGGUAGGCGGCCUGGGAGCGGGACCGGGCACCUUGCGACUGCGAUACGGACCAGAAUCCAACGUGAGGCAGCAGUCGGGAAUAUUGCACAGUGGGCGGAAGCGUGUUGUGGCAGCGUCGCGUGCGGGAUGCCCGCUUUCGGGUUGUAAACCGCUUUCUCCUGUGAUGAAGCGUUAGUGACGGUACUGAGUAAAAAAGCACCGGCUAACUACGUG
rnacentral:rRNA from 1 species